rnacentral:rRNA from 1 species
GACGAACGCUGGCGGUGUGCUUAACACAUGCAAGUGGUGCGACGAACCUGGCUUCGGCCAGGGGCAAAGCCGCGAACGGGUGAGUAACACGUGGGUAAUCUGCCCCGAUGACUGGGACAACCCGAGGAAACUCGGGCUAAUACCGGAUGUGGUGCCUGGACAUAAGUCCGGUCACUAAAGGUAGCUUCGGCUUCCGCAUUGGGAGGGGCCCGCGGCCCAUUAGCUUGUUGGUGGGGUCAAGGCCUACCAAGGCAACGAUGGGUAGCUGGUCUGAGAGGACGAUCAGCCACACUGGGACUGAGACACGGCCCAGACUCCUACGGGAGGCAGCAGUGGGGAAUCUUGCGCAAUGCGCGAAAGCGUGACGCAGCAACACCGCGUGAGGGAAGACGGCCUUAGGGUUGUAAACCUCUUUCAGAUGGGACGAAGGUUCUCCGGUGAAUAGCCGAGGGAUUGACGGUACCGUCAGAAGAAGCUCCGGCUAACUACGUGCCAGCCGCCGCGGUAACAC